AACGAACGCUGGCGGCAUGCCUAACACAUGCAAGUCGAACGAUCCCUUCGGGGAUAGUGGCGCACGGGUGCGUAACGCGUGGGAACCUGCCCUUAGGUUCGGAAUAACUCAGAGAAAUUUGAGCUAAUACCGGAUAAUGUCUUCGGACCAAAGAUUUAUCGCCUUUGGAUGGGCCCGCGUUGGAUUAGCUAGUUGGUGGGGUAAAGGCCUACCAAGGCGACGAUCCAUAGCUGGUCUGAGAGGAUGAUCAGCCACACUGGGACUGAGACACGGCCCAGACUCCUACGGGAGGCAGCAGUGGGGAAUAUUGGACAAUGGGCGAAAGCCUGAUCCAGCAAUGCCGUGUGAGUGAUGAAGGCCUUAGGGUUGUAAAGCUCUUUUACCCGGGAUGAUAAUGACAGUACCGGGAGAAUAAGCCCCGGCUAACUCCGUG
rnacentral:rRNA from 1 species